GCAUAGGGUGAGUAAUACGCCGUGUGUUUCAUACUCCCCUGCUAAUAUGAUAAUAAACGCAUUCAAAAAGAAAAAAAAAGAAAGAAGGAAAGAAAGAAAAAAAGCACCGAAGUGUUUACAGCGCGUCCCCGUCCUGCUCCGUGCCUCACCGUCCCGGCACCGGGAGCGGAGUGCCGUCCGGGAGGGAAGGGAGCAGAGCGGCGGCGGCCGAGGGGAAGGAGAGGCUGAAGGCAGCGCUCGUUGACUCUCAUCCCUAUCCCGAGUGCCGCCUCCUCCCGAGCGGGAGAGUUUGCGGGAGCCCCGCUACGAACCCGCAGAGCGCAAACGGCACGCGGCCGCGGUUCCCUCGAGCGCCGGCAGCGCGCAGGCAAAGGACCGUUCAUUAGGAUAAUAAUUAGCGCCGCUCUGUUUUAUCCCCAACCCGUUCGAUCUCUAUCUGUUCCGAGACAACGCUAAUAAUGGCAGCGAUUGCUUCAGUAAACAUCCUGCGCCGGCAUUCUUUCCCGUGUCAACUCAGUCUAUUCAAUGGGGGCUACUUGAAGGGCCGGAGGGACAAAGCGUGUACACAUCGCACCGCCAUUCAUUCUGGCCAGCUGGAGCGGCUGAAAAAAAAACCUUGUGAAAAGAAACGCCUCACAAUGGGCACAGAAGAAGUGCACAAUGCUAACAGUUUUCCAAAUACCGCUGAUUGGUUUCCUCACAAUGAGGAGAAAGCCGCCGCUUUUUCUUAGCUCCACUUCAACAAACAACGCUCUCACAAAACCUCCCAACCCCGGGUUUUGUUCGCGGACAAAACCUCCUCGACUGUCUAAACGCUCCCACUGCAGGACAAAAAAGAAGGAGAAGAAGACGAAGAAGAAAAGCUCUUUUCACCAUUUCCCCCUUCUCUCUCUCUCUCUCUCUCUCUCUCUUUUUUUUUUCCCUCUGCGAGAGAGAAAAGAGAAAGGGGGAGAAGGG